UGGGGAAUAUUGCACAAUGGGCGCAAGCCUGAUGCAGCCAUGCCGCGUGUGUGAAGAAGGCCUUCGGGUUGUAAAGCACUUUCAGCGGGGAGGAAGGCGGUGAGGUUAAUAACCUCACCGAUUGACGUUACCCGCAGAAGAAGCACCGGCUAACUCCGUGCCAGCAGCCGCGGUAAUACGGAGGGUGCAAGCGUUAAUCGGAAUUACUGGGCGUAAAGCGCACGCAGGCGGUCUGUCAAGUCGGAUGUGAAAUCCCCGGGCUCAACCUGGGAACUGCAUUCGAAACUGGAAGGCUAGAGUCUUGUAGAGGGGGGUAGAAUUCCAGGUGUAGCGAUGAAAUGCGUAGAGAUCUGGAGGAAUACCGGUGGCGAAGGCGGCCCCCUGGACAAAGACUGACGCUCAGGUGCGAAAGCGUGGGGAGCAAACAGG
rnacentral:rRNA from 1 species